UAUUUCUUCCUUCCCUAUUACACGAAUAUUUCAGCACGGAUGCGUAGUAAAUUUUCGAAUCAUCAAGUUUGGAAAUAAUUAAUUUGGAGAGUGGAUUUACGUUUGCUUGUAUGGUUUUGUGUUUAUAUACCGGACAGGAAACAAAGACAUUCACUUGAUCAAGAAGAUAAUCACCAAAAAAUUUGGAUUUAUUACAAUAUAAAGUGUAGAAAAUAUGGUUUGAUAGAUUUUUUUCCCAAUCUGGAGAGGUAAACAAUGCAAUCUAUACUUUAAAUCAGAGAAAAGCAAAACUUUUAAUUAAU